rnacentral:rRNA from 1 species
CAACGUGGGUAACCUGCCCCGAUGACUGGGACAACCCGAGGAAACUCGGGCUAAUACCGGAUGUGCUCCCAUCACACCAGUGAUGUGAGUAAAGAUAGCUUCGGCCUUCGCAUCGGGAUGGGCCCGCGGCCCAUUAGCUUGUUGGUGGGGUAACGGCCUACCAAGGCGACGAUGGGUAGCUGGUCUGAGAGGACGAUCAGCCACACUGGGACUGAGACACGGCCCAG